rnacentral:rRNA from 1 species
GUAGGGAAUAUUGGGCAAUGGUCGGAAGACUGACCCAGCCAUGCCGCGUGCAGGAAGACGGCCCUCUGGGUUGUAAACUGCUUUUAUCUGGGAAGAAAAAGGACAUGCGUGGCAAAUUGCCGGUACCAGAUGAAUAAGCACCGGCUAACUCCGUGCCAGCAGCCGCGGUAAUACGGAGGGUGCGAGCGUUGUCCGGAUUUAUUGGGUUUAAAGGGUGCGUAGGCGGCUGAUUAAGGCAGCGGUGAAAGACUUCGGCUUAACCGGAGCAGUGCCGUUGAUACUGGUUGGCUUGAGUGUCGGAGGGGUACAUGGAAUUGAUGGUGUAGCGGUGAAAUGCAUAGAUACCAUCAGGAACACCGAUAGCGAAGGCAUUGUACUGGCCGACAACUGACGCUGAUGCACGAAAGUGUGGGGAUCGAACAGGAUUAGAAACCCCUGUAGUCC